UACGUAGGGUGCAAGCGUUGUCCGGAAUUAUUGGGCGUAAAGAGCUCGUAGGCGGUCUGUCGCGUCGGAUGUGAAAACCCAGGGCUCAACCCUGGGCCUGCAUUCGAUACGGGCAGACUAGAGUCCUGGAGAGGAAGGUGGAAUGCUUGGUGUAGAGGUGAAAUUCGUAGAUAUCAAGCGGAACACCGGUGGCGAAGGCGGCCUUCUGGACAGUGACUGACGCUGAGACGCGAAAGCGUGGGGAGCAAACAGG
rnacentral:rRNA from 1 species